rnacentral:rRNA from 1 species
GUAGGGAAUAUUGCGCAAUGGACGAAAGUCUAACGCAGCGACGCCGCGUGAGUGAUGAAGGCCUUAGGGUCGUAAAGCUCUGUUGAAUGGGAAGAAAAAAAUGACGGUACCAUUCGAGGAAGGACCGGCUAACUUCGUGCCAGCAGCCGCGGUAAUACGAGGGGUCCUAGCGUUGUUCGGAAUCAUUGGGCGUAAAGGGUGUGUAGGUGGCCAUGUAAGUCAGGUGUGAAAGCCCCGGGCUCAACCCGGGAAGUGCACUUGAUACUGCGUGGCUUGAGUACCGAAGAGGGUAGUGGAAUUCCAGGUGUAGUGGUGAAAUACGUAGAUAUCUGGAGGAACACCGGUGGCGAAGGCGGCUACCUGGUCGAGUACUGACACUGAGACACGAAAGCAUGGGGAUCAAACAGGAUUAGAUACCCUAGUAGUCC